rnacentral:rRNA from 1 species
GACGAACGCUGGCGGCGUGCUUAACACAUGCAAGUCGAACGGAAAGGCCCUGCUUUUGUGGGGUGCUCGAGUUGCGAACGGGUGAGUAACACGUGAGUAACCUGCCCUUGACCUUGGGAUAACUUCAGGAAACUGGGGCUAAUACCGGAUAGGAGCUCCUGCUGCAUGGUGGGGGUUGGAAAGUUUCGGCGGUUGGGGAUGGACUCGCGGCUUAUCAGCUUGUUGGUGGGGUAGUGGCUUACCAAGGCUUUGACGGGUAGCCGGCCUGAGAGGGUGACCGGCCACAUUGGGACUGAGAUACGGCCCAGACUCCUACGGGAGGCAGCAGUGGGGAAUAUUGCACAAUGGGCGGAAGCCUGAUGCAGCAACGCCGCGUGCGGGAUGACGGCCUUCGGGUUGUAAACCGCUUUCGCCUGUGACGAAGCGUGAGUGACGGUAAUGGGUAAAGAAGCACCGGCUAACUACGUG